rnacentral:rRNA from 1 species
GCCGCGUGAGUGAAGAAGGCCUUCGGGUUGUAAAGCUCUUUUGUCAGGGAAGAAACGGCCUGUUCUAAUACAGUGGGCUAAUGACGGUACCUGAAGAAUAAGCACCGGCUAACUACGUGCCAGCAGCCGCGGUAAUACGUAGGGUGCAAGCGUUAAUCGGAAUUACUGGGCGUAAAGCGUGCGCAGGCGGUUUUGUAAGACUGUCGUGAAAUCCCCGGGCUCAACCUGGGAAUGGCGAUGGUGACUGCAAGGCUAGAGUUUGGCAGAGGGGGGUAGAAUUCCACGUGUAGCAGUGAAAUGCGUAGAUAUGUGGAGGAACACCGAUGGCGAAGGCAGCCCCCUGGGUCAAAACUGACGCUCAUGCACGAAAGCGUGGGGAGCAAACAGGAUUAGAUACCCUGGUAGUCCACGCCCUAAACGAUGUCUACUAGUUGUCGGGUCUUAAUUGACUUGGUAACGCAGCUAACGCGUGAAGUAGACCGCCUGGGGAGUACGGUCGCAAGAUUAAAACUCAAAGGAAUUGACGGGGACCCGCACAAGCGGUGGAUGAUGUGGAUUAAUUCGAUGCAACGCGCAAAACCUUACCUACCCGUGACAUGGAAGGAAUCCCUGAGAGAUUGGGGA